UUCAAAACUACGAUUUAUAAUUAAAAACAUGAACGGUUCAGGUUUAACAGAUUUGGUUCGUUCAUUGAUUUAAUCUUAUUUAACACCUUAACGAUCACCAAAUUGGCUGAAAAUUUGCAGAAUUGAUCUAUAUAUAAGGACCAACAAACUGAACGGUGAAUAUUCAAAAAUAUAAUCGAAAAGUUGGUGUAAUCCCCCAUCGCUCAUAUAUGUCAAAAAAAAGGAUCCUUUAGUGGAAGGGCCUUCUAUAUAUAGGGUUAAUGGCAGUAUUGUGGUUUUUUAAAAACAGUAGAGGUAAAAUGGUCAGCACACAAAUGCCACUGUUCAAUUGCAACACACAAAAUCACUGUUCACUUGCUUGUGAACAGUCAACCAUCCUAUAGUAUAUAGGUAAAUAUGUAUAAUUUCCAUAUAGUUCAUCCCUUUUGCCAAAGCACCUGACUUGGUGCCCGAUCUAGAACACGACCCACCACUGUACCCAACCCUCAUAUCCAUCACUCUUCUUCUUCCCACUCCCACUACCACCGUUGUCGCCGCUGCCAAUAUUCAUCCUCAUCCUCAUACUCAUAAAACUCCCUCCCACUGCUGCUCUUCCUCACUGACUCGAUUGACGCGUCGGGAUGCCGAACAGAUGCGCGCAUCCAGUUGAUGAGAGAAGAGGUGGCUUAUGUAGAGAGAGGAGUCGUCGGAAGAAUAAGGUUGAAGGUGGUGGAGGAUGACCUUUUGCCUAUUGAUUGGCUGGUAUGAAUAAGAUUCAUUGGCAAAAAGGUUGGAAGUGGUGGAGUUGUAGGGACGAUCAACGGUAUUUAUCUGUUCACCAAAAUAGAUUAAUCGACUCGAUCUGGGCUCUUGUUCUUAUCCCUAAUUUGAAGCAGAUCCUGCCGAAACAUUUUCAUCAAAGACGAAACUCGUUUCCCUAACGUUUCAGAUUUCUUCUUUUAUGGAAGCGCGUUUCGGGGCGUUUCGUUUCCGAAACGCGAAACAUCGGUAAUUUGACGUUUCUGUGCAACAGAGGUAUAUAUAGUCAUUAAGAUGACUAAUUUACCCUCAGACCAAAAACAAGUUUACCUUAAUUUUUUUUCCUUUAGUUUUUUUUUAAUUUUAAAAAAAACGUUUUAUUAAUAACUCACACACCCUACAUAUGUCAGUGAGGUUUGAA
rnacentral:lncRNA from 1 species